AUUGAACGCUGGCGGCAUGCUUUACACAUGCAAGUCGAACGGCAGCAUGGGUGCUUGCACCUGAUGGCGAGUGGCGAACGGGUGAGUAAUACAUCGGAACGUACCAAGUAAUGGGGGAUAACUACUAGAAAGAGUGGCUAAUACCGCAUACGCGCUAAGGGGGAAAGCAGGGGAUCUUCGGACCUUGCGUUAUUUGAGCGGCCGAUGUCUGAUUAGCUAGUUGGUGGGGUAAGCGCCUACCAAGGCGACGAGCAGUAGCGGGUCUGAGAGGAUGAUCCGCCACACUGGGACUGAGACACGGCCCAGACUCCUACGGGAGGCAGCAGUGGGGAAUUUUGGACAAUGGGCGAAAGCCUGAUCCAGCCAUGCCGCGUGUAUGAAGAAGGCCUUCGGGUUGUAAAGUACUUUUGUUAGGGAAGGAAAGCUUGUUGCUAAUAUCAGCAAGUCAUGACGGUACCUAAAGAAUAAGCACCGGCUAACUACGUGCCAGCAGCCGCGGUAA
rnacentral:rRNA from 1 species